rnacentral:lncRNA from 1 species
UAUCUAGAUAUCUACCCAAAGCCUCCUGUGGUCAUAGGUUGGGGCUUUUGGGAGUGACUGGAUCAUGUAUAUGUUAUACUGGAUUAGUCCACUGAUAGGUUUACAUCUGGGUGUCAUGUUGGGAGGUGAAGGUGGUAGGAAGAGAUGGAUCACGUGGGUGUGGCCUGGAAGGCUCUUAUCUCCCUCCUCCCUUGAUGGCACUGCUUCCUGCCUGCCACACUAUGGACUAUUUCUCCUUUGCGAUGCCCCUCUGCCAUGCUCCCCUGCCUUGAAGCCAGCUGACUAUGGAUUGAAACCUCUGCAAACUGGCCAAGAUCAAAGGACAGCCCCAGUUUGAGACACAGCAGAGGAAAAGAGGAUGACAAAACCAGGGAGUGUGUCCAAAGCCCAUGCUCAGGGAUGGUAUGAAUCCAUGCCACGAACAUUUAUUGGGCACAGAAAACAAAAAAGUGAAGUUCUGUGCUGGUGAUUUGGGAACAACAGGAAGACCAAAACUGGUGUCUUUGGAAGAAUCUAGCUUUUGUCCUCUCUGCCAUUCACCAGUAGCCUUGUGGCUCAGCACUCUCUCUGCAGCCAUAUUAAGAAGGAAUGAAGUCGGUGAAGGAGCUAAGGUGGAACCUGCUGGAUUGGUAUAUUGAUUAUUUUGAGCUGAAAUCUCCUGAAGAACUGCAACUUCAGAAAGGACCACAUAGCCUGACUUGCACUGCAUCUAGAAAGCCAUAAAGAUUCUUCAGGGGAUGGCAGGGUGGGGCAGGGCUCAGUAGUGGAGUGACUGCCACUCAUGUACAAGGCUGUGGAUUUGAUACUCAGCACAAUAAAAAAAAAAAGAAAGUUUCUUUUGGGA